CCAGCAUUUGUUUGCCACGCCCUCCUACCGCUUCUAUUAGAGUUAUCAAUACCAAAUUUGAACCAUGGAUAGACCUCAUCAUGAACUUUUACCAGAUGAACUUUUGUAGGAUUUCAUCAUCCCCUUUGGAAGUUAUCUCCCUUUUAUUGAUUUUUUUCAACAUGGUCCCCCCAAAAUGUUUUAAAAGAUAUCAUGACCUUAUUUGGACAAUAGGUAGAUAUUAUCAUGAUGUAUUACCAUAUGAGGCUGCAUAGGAUUUCAUCAUCCGCUUUGAGAGUUAUAUCCCCUUGAAGCAAUUUCUUUUAUUUGUAUUUUUCUUUAAAAGUAUUAGAGAUAGACUCGAUUUGAAAAUGGCAGCAUAUACAAGAACAGAUGGCAAUGUUUACAAACAUAAACAAUUAAUUUGUUACUAAGCCUUAUAAGGAGUUAUUUCCCUUUAAAAAUAUAUAAUAUUUUUGAAAAGUUCUAUUUCGAGAACCAGAAGUCGUAGAGACUUGGGACCUACACCAAUAAUCUUAAGUUCAUGUGACCUUUAAUUUGCACCCAAGGUCAAAGGUCACAGAGUGCGAAAAAAAAUUUACGCUGCAAUUUCAAGCUUACAUAUUAGGAAAACUUUGCUGCCUACAUACAGCGUAUAAAAUGUUCCUCUCGACAAGCUCUACAUUUUAUAUAAUAAGCACAAAAAUGUCCGACUGUCUGUUCAAAAGUUACGACGGGAUGAUUCUUAAAAGUAUAGUAUUUUGUGUAUAUCUUUUUAAAGGUAACAGAUAUCAACCUACUAUAAACAGCGAAGAUGAUCAGUAGUUCAAGACCUUCAAUUUGAGGUCAAUGUCAGUCAUGAUGAAUUUCACCUUGACUUCACAUUAUACUAUGACCUUGACCUUGUGAUAUUUGAAAGGUCAAGUGGUCCUGAGUUGAAUGGUGAUAGUCCCAUGUCUCUACGACUUCUGGUUUUCAAGUUUUGUAUUGCAUCAUAUAUUUGAUGAUUAAUUGUGACCUUAGUGAACUUUGAAAUUGUCCCAAUUCUUUUUCUAUAAUGUUGUCCUUUAACUGUAGAUCAUUUAUCAUUUAACAGAUUUGAGAUAUCUAUUGUCGUUUUAGAGAUAAUGCAGUUUGAAGUUUUGUGAGCGGAGGCAUGUAUUUCUGAAUCAUCAAGAGCUUACCACUUAAAAUGUUUUAGAAAUUGAAGAGGUUGACAUAGUUAAUAUGUUGACCAAAUAAAUACCAAAAACAUUCCAUGGAAAAAAACACCAAAAAAUAAUUUGAAAAUUUCAAGUUUUGCAUUGACUUUGUAAGUUUCAUAACUUCUAUUUUAUAUAGUUGAUAUUGCAUCAUUAUUGCACUUGUCAAAUGGGGUCAUCUCAUAAUCAAAUUGAAGGUCUUAAUAACUCUACUUUAAAAUAAAUUUUAAACCCACUUUUCAUCAGGGGACGGGUGGGGUCAUUUAGUGCAAACAUUCAAAUUUCUCAAGAUGGUAAGGUGUCGCAUAUCAAAUGAAAGAACAUAAAGCGUACAUUUCAAAUUUCAAAUUGACGUCUCCCAAAAAUGGGUUGGAUGGGGUCAUUGAGUGCAAAAAAUAAAUGUUCUUUUAAGGUAGGGUUGUUGUAUAUCAAAUGAAAGGUCAUGAUGUGUACAUUGGAAAUAUCAAAUCCCUACCUCCAAAAAUUAGUUGGAUAGGGUUAUUAAGUGCAAAAAUCAAACUUUCUAGAACAUAGAGUUGUUGCAUAUCAAAUGAAAGCUCAUCUACUCUAUGUAUUUAUAUCAUAAUUCCGAUCUCAAAAAUGUAGGCGGAUGAGGUCAUUAAGUGUUAAAAGCGGAAAGUUUCAGAAGGUAUGCUUGUAUAUCAAACGAAAGGUCGUACAAGGUACAUUACGAAAACAUCACUUUUACAGGAAAGACCUUUCAAUUGUUUUACAAACAAUUGAGAUACUAGUUUUUUUCUUUUUUUUCUUCCAGCAUUGUUUUGGCACACCCUCCUACCGCGUCUAUAAGAGUUAUCAAUACCAAAUUUAAACCAUCGAUAGACCUCAUCAUGAACUUAUACCAGAUGAACUUUUGUAGGAUUUCAUCAUCCCCUUUAGAAGUUAUCUCCCUUAUAUUGAUUUUUUUCAACAUUGCCCCCCAUAAAUAUUUUAAAAGAUAUCAUAACUUUAUUUUGACAAUAGGUAGAUCUCAUCAUGAUGUGUUACCAUAUGAGGCUGCUAAGGAUUUCAUCAUCCAAUAUGAGAGUUAUGUCCCCUUGAAGCAAUUUUUUUCUUUUGCAUUUUUCUCAAAAAGUAUUAAAGAUAGAAUCGAUUUGAAAACGGCAGCAUGUACAAGACGAGAUGGCAUUGCUCAUAAACAUAUACAAUCAUUUUGUUGUUAACCCUUAUAAUGAGUUAUUUCCCUUGAAAAAAUAUACACAAUUUUUGAAAAAUUGUAUCUCGAGAUCC
rnacentral:lncRNA from 1 species